CUCCUUGGUUUGUAGAUGACUGUUUGCUCCCUGUAUCUUCACAUGGUCUUCCCUCGAUGUCAACAACAUGGUGAAGUAGUCUUCUGCUGUCUUCUUUGGAAGGAACUCCGAUUUUGACAGUUGCCCACGGAUGAGAGUGCUUUUGGGGAAGUCUAGGAGUUCAGCAGAGAGGCUCUAGCACAUCAUUGAAGAAAAAAAAUCAGGACUGGGCACAUGAAAAUGUGUUGAAAAAGAAAGCAUCCUGUGCGGUUAUCUGGGAGGCCUCAUGAACUUGGCCCGACACCUCAGCUGUCCUUGACCUCCGCAGCCAUUGCCCCAGAAACCAGCUGGCUUCCCGCAGCUGAGAACUGGCAGCCCCUGCUUCAGCUCCCCCCCAGUGCUUCUCAUUUUCUGCUCUGAAAAUGUCUCCUUGAAACUCAGCAGAGAGAAGCUUUCUCAGAGGGAAUCUAAAAUAGGCAGUGCAAAGACACCUGUGAUUUCUCUCAGCAUAUUCCGAGCCACACGGGUGCAAAAGGGGAAAGAAGAUGACAGAAGAUCCACCAUCUUCCCAGGGCACGGCUUUGAAAUGCAAAUUCGUUUCCACUUGACCACAGACCAAGAAGGCACAAUGGGCAUCGGCAAUGAAGGAGGCGUUCAGAGAUCUGGCAGCAAGAAAGGGGAAAAGUGGACUGAAAAUAAAAGUGUGCAGAGCUUCUGGGACCCGUGGGACAAUGACCGUCUAACAUUCGUGUCCCUGGAGUCCCCAGCCUUUGGCUAGGGAGAGACAGGACACCAAGGGGAACUGGAGAGGAAAUUCCACUCCUUCCAGAAGCCUUUCUGAAAUGCAAUAGUUUAUAUCCUGCCUGAACACAUUCUGCAAGGCUAGUCUUUCCGCUUGUGCUGUUCAUGAAGCUGAGCCCGAGCUGCAUCCGCCCCUUUGUGACCGCUCUCCCUCCGUCCUGCCUCGCUCCUGAUUCCCUCCCGGUGCCUUCCCGGAGCACGCAUCUCAUCAGCACGUUAGCACAGGGGAAUUAAUUGUCCAACACAUCUGACUUCCCUGGGUGCACGUCCCAAGGCCAGAAAAAACCUUCAAGUGGGUAUUUUCAGGAGUCAGUGAGAAGGAAAAGUGAGCCUACAAGAGAUUCAGUAACCUGCUGAAAGCGGAACUGGUGUUCAAACAGAGGUUCCCAUGUGUCUAAAGCUAAGUACCAAAUGACUCCGAGGUGGGGUUGAACAAUCUACUAGAAAGGUAGAGAACCUGAUGAGAAGACAAGGCUGAAAAUGGUGCCUUCAGAGUGAAAUCUACAUUCAGCACUGGGAAGAGAUUGGAACAUGGCAUUAUUCCUUAAACUUCCUUGAUGAUGAGACUCACCUGGGCAAUUGUUGGAAAUACCUGGUGCUUCUCAGGUCUGCUGAAUCCCUGUCUCCUCACAGAGGAACCUAGAGGAGUCUGAUGAUCAGAGAAACAGAAACGCUGGACGCGGGUCACAAUUCUGGCUUCCCAUUAGAACUGCAUGGAGAGAGGCACCUGGCUGGUUUGGUGGGUAGAGUGUGCAACAACUCUUGAUCUCCAGGUGGUGAGUUCAGUCUCCAUGUUGGGAGUAGAGAUUACUUAAAAAUAAAAUCUUGGAAUCUUUAAAAAAAAAUCAUAUUUUUUUUAAAAAAGAAAGAAAAUCCUAUGAAGAGCUCUUUGUAAAUACUAAUGCCUGGGCCCCACUCCUCAAUUAAAUUAUAAUCUGGGACAAGAGUAGGGUAUAGGAGUGUGGAUUAUUAGGCUUAAAAAGUUCCCCCAGGUGAUUCCCGUGGGAAGUCAGCGUAGGGGUUCUGGCUGGCUCAGUCGGAACAGUGUGCGACUCUUGAUUUUGGGGUGGUGCAUUCAAGCCUCAUGUUGGGUGUAAAGAUUAUUUAAAUAGAUAAAACUUUUAAAAAAAAGAAGUCAGGGUUGCAAUCACAGAUACAUGGUUAGAGAUGAAAA